rnacentral:misc_RNA from 1 species
GAUGAAGAACGCAGCGAAAUGCGAUAAGUAAUGUGAAUUGCAGAAUUCAGUGAAUCAUCGAAUCUUUGAACGCACAUUGCGCCCGCCAGUAUUCUGGCGAGCAUGCCUGUUCGAGCGUCAUUUCAACCAUCAAGCCCCAGGCUUGUGUUGGAGCCCUGCGGCUGCCGCAGCCUCCCAAAACCAGUGGCGGGCUCGCUAUCACACCGAGUGCAGUAGUUUACUCUUCGCUCAGGGCGUGUGGCGGGUGCUAGCCGUGAAACCCCCAACUUCUCAAGGUUGAGCUCGGAUCAGGUAGGAAUACCCGCUGAACUUAAGCAUAUCAAUAAGCGGAGGA